AUUGAACGCUGGCGGCAGGCCUAACACAUGCUCGUCGAACGAGUUGCGGACGGGUGAGUAAUGUCCUUGAAACUGCCUGACGGUGGGGGAUAACUACUGGUAACGGUAGCUAAUACCGCAUACCAUCAGAUGUGCCCAGAUGGGAUUAGCUAGUCGGUGGGGUAACGGCUCACCAAGGCGACGAUCCCUAGCUGGUCUGAGAGGACGACCAGACACACUGGAACUGAGACACGGUCCAGACUCCUACGGGAGGCAGCAGUGGGGAAUAUUGCAAAAUGGGCGCAAGCCUGAUGCAGCCAUGCCGCGUGUAUGAAGAAGGCGUUCGGGUUGUAAAGUACUUUCAGCGGGGAGGCGUUACCCGCAGAAGAAGCACCGGCUAACUCCGUGCCAGCAGCCGCGGUAAUUC
rnacentral:rRNA from 1 species